rnacentral:lncRNA from 1 species
AGGACCCAAUAUGAGUUGGGUACCUAAAUCUGCUUGAUCUUUUCAGGUGUGCCUAAGGAGCGAGCUGAAAACAGAGAUGUGGUACAUGGACAGCGCUUGCUCUAGGCAUAUGACUGGUGACAAAAAGAGGUUCACCAGAUUAGAAAAGAAAAAGGGAGGUACGGUAAGCUUUGGAGACAAAGCAAAAGGUAAAAUCGUUGGUAUUGGUGUGGUAGGUUCUAAUCCUUCA